UACGAAGGGGGCUAGCGUUGCUCGGAAUCACUGGGCGUAAAGGGUGCGUAGGCGGGGCUUUAAGUCAGGGGUGAAAGCCCGGGGCUCAACUCCGGAAUUGCCUUUAAGACUGCAUCGCUAGAAUUGUGGAGAGGUAAGUGGAAUUCCGAGUGUAGAGGUGAAAUUCGUAGAUAUUCGGAAGAACACCAGUGGCGAAGGCGACUUACUGGACACAUAUUGACGCUGAGGUGCGAAAGCGUGGGGAGCAAACAGG
rnacentral:rRNA from 1 species